UUGGGUUAAGUCCCGCAACGAGCGCAACCCUUGAUUUUAGUUGCCAGCAUUUAGUUGGGCACUCUAAAGUGACUGCCGGUGCAAGCCGGAGGAAGGUGGGGAUGACGUCAAAUCAUCAUGCCCCUUAUGACCUGGGCUACACACGUGCUACAAUGGAUAGUACAAAGGGUCGCGAAGCCGCGAGGUGGAGCUAAUCCCAUAAAACUAUUCUCAGUUCGGAUUGUAGGCUGCAACUCGCCUACAUGAAGCCGGAAUCGCUAGUAAUCGUGGAUCAGCAUGCCACGGUGAAUACGUUCCCGGGCCUUGUACACACCGCCCGUCACACCACGAGAGUUUGUAACACCCGAAGUCGGUAGGGUAACCUUUAUGGAGCCAGCCGCCGAAGGUGGGACAGAUAAUUGGGGUGAAGUCGUAACAAGGUAGCCGUAUCGGAAGGUGCGGCUGGAUCACCUCCUUUCUAAGGAA
rnacentral:rRNA from 1 species